GACGAACGCUGGCGGCGUGCUUAACACAUGCAAGUCGAACGGUAAGGCCCUUCGGGGUACACGAGUGGCGAACGGGUGAGUAACACGUGGGUGAUCUGCCCUGCACUUCGGGAUAAGCCUGGGAAACUGGGUCUAAUACCGGAUAGGACCACUGCCUGCAUGGGUGGUGGUGGAAAGCUUUUGCGGUGUGGGAUGGGCCCGCGGCCUAUCAGCUUGUUGGUGGGGUGAUGGCCUACCAAGGCGACGACGGGUAGCCGGCCGGAGAGGGUGACCUGCCACACUGGGACUGAGAUACGGCCCAGACUCCUACGGGGGGCAGCAGUGGGGAAUAUUGCACAAUGGGCGCAAGCCUGAUGCAGCGACGCCGCGUGAGGGAUGACGGCCUUCGGGUUGUAAACCUCUUUCAGCACUGACGAAGCGCAAGUGACGGUAGGUGCAGAAGAAGGACCGGCCAACUACGUGCCAGCCGCCGCAGUAA
rnacentral:rRNA from 1 species